UACGUAGGGGGCAAGCGUUGUCCGGAUUUAUUGGGCGUAAAGAGCGUGUAGGCGGCUAGGUAGGUCCGUUGUGAAAACUCGAGGCUCAACCUCGAGCUGUCGAUGGAAACCAUCUGGCUAGAGUCCGGAAGAGGAGAGUGGAAUUCCUGGUGUAGCGGUGAAAUGCGCAGAUAUCAGGAGGAACACCGAUGGCGAAGGCAGGUCUCUGGGCCACUACUGACGCUGAGAAGCGAAAGCAUGGGGAGCGAACAGG
rnacentral:rRNA from 1 species